UACGUUAGUUGCUAACGCGUGAAGGCGAGCACUCUAACGAACUGCCGUUGACAAAACGGAGGAAGGUGGGGAUGACGUCAAAUCAUCAUGCCCCUUAUGUUCUGGGCUACACACGUGCUACAAUGGCCGGUACAGACGGACGCAAAGCCGCGAGGUGGAGCAAAUCCUAAAAAGCCGGUCUCAGUUCGGAUUGCAGGCUGCAAUUCGCCUGCAUGAAGUCGGAAUCGCUAGUAAUCGCAGGUCAGCAUACUGCGGUCGAAUACGUUCCCGGGCCUU
rnacentral:rRNA from 1 species